GAUGAACGCUGGCGGCGUGCCUAAUACAUGCAAGUCGAGCGAACAGACGAGGAGCUUGCUCCUCUGACGUUAGCGGCGGACGGGUGAGUAACACGUGGAUAACCUACCUAUAAGACUGGGAUAACUUCGGGAAACCGGAGCUAAUACCGGAUAAUAUAUUGAACCGCAUGGUUCAAUAGUGAAAGACGGUUUUGCUGUCACUUAUAGAUGGAUCCGCGCCGCAUUAGCUAGUUGGUAAGGUAACGGCUUACCAAGGCAACGAUGCGUAGCCGACCUGAGAGGGUGAUCGGCCACACUGGAACUGAGACACGUUCCAGACUCCUACGGGAGGCAGCAGUAGGGAAUCUUCCGCAAUGGGCGAAAGCAUGACGGAGCAACGCCGCGUGAGUGAUGACGGUCUUCGGAUCGUAAAACUCUGUUAUUAGGGAAGAACAAAUGUGUAAGUAACUAUGCACGUCUUGACGGUACCUAAUCAGAAAGCCACGGCUAACUACGUG
rnacentral:rRNA from 1 species